GGAAGUGACUGUAGGUUUAGAUGAAUGGAAAAUGAACUUGCCAGUUCACAGCUAUGUCCUUCCCAAUUUAGGAGGUUAAGGGCAGGAAAAACAUGAGAAACUCUUUUGAGAAGCUGCACAAGCUGACAUGGAGGAUCAAGGAUUUCAAAAGCUUUGAAUAUAAAGAGGUGUCAGACUUACAUCAGAGCCUGAGACUUGACAUGCCUAUUUUUGCACUCGCUCAUUUUUCAAAUUUCAUAGGCAUUGCUCCCUCCAAAUCACCGCUCUUCUAAUUUUAUCCUGGAGUGUGCAUCCCAGAAGACAUAAGCUGACACAAUUGGGAACUGAAGUUGCUUGAAAAAGCUGGUGGUAAGAUUAGACUCUAGACAGCUUAUACGUAUUUGGACAAGGCAACGUGAUGAAGAAAUAAUAUAAUUGUAGGAUCACCUCUGUCCAGUAGCUGUUAUCCAACAUCUGCAUACUUAGAUUUCUGGAGAGCCCUAUGCCUUCACAAGAACAAGUUCCCACACCAGGGUCAAGAAGGAAACCGUAAGUCAAGACAAAAGUGCCCAGUGAAGGCAGAAGAUGAGGGGUCUCAGGUUGCAUCUUCGGAGGCACGAGGAUUCAAAGGUGAACAAAGCACACAGUACAUCAUUUGAUGUGGGAAACAACAUUAUUUGAAUAUCACCAUCCUU
rnacentral:lncRNA from 10 species